UGUUACAGUCAAAUCACCCUCCAGACCAAGACUGAUUACUCACUGAAGCUAAGCAGGGAUGAGACUGUUCAGUACCAGGAUAGGAGACCACAUGGAAAAACUAGGUUGCUGUUGGAA
ensembl:rRNA 5S_rRNA 5S ribosomal RNA